GACGAACGCUGGCGGCGUGCCUAAUACAUGCAAGUAGAACGCUGAAGGAGGAGCUUGCUUCUCUGGAUGAGUUGCGAACGGGUGAGUAACGCGUAGGUAACCUGCCUGGUAGCGGGGGAUAACUAUUGGAAACGAUAGCUAAUACCGCAUAAUAGUAGAUGUUGCAUGACAUUUGCUUAAAAGGUGCAAUUGCAUCACUACCAGAUGGACCUGCGUUGUAUUAGCUAGUUGGUGAGGUAACGGCUCACCAAGGCGACGAUACAUAGCCGACCUGAGAGGGUGAUCGGCCACACUGGGACUGAGACACGGCCCAGACUCCUACGGGAGGCAGCAGUAGGGAAUCUUCGGCAAUGGACGGAAGUCUGACCGAGCAACGCCGCGUGAGUGAAGAAGGUUUUCGGAUCGUAAAGCUCUGUUGUAAGAGAAGAACGAGUGUGAGAGUGGAAAGUUCACACUGUGGCGGAUCUACCAGAAAGGCG
rnacentral:rRNA from 1 species